rnacentral:misc_RNA from 1 species
AGGUGACAGAGGGGCGCCUCGCCUUGCCUUGCCUGGCGCCUCGCUCGUCUUUGAUAACACUGUCUUAAAUUCAGACAUUUAUGUUUGAAGAGAAAUAAAUGUGUAGAGAAAUGAUUGCUGAAGUUCUGAAACAUGUAUAAGUGGCUUAAACGAUAAGUGAAGAAAAGUCUUUGGGUUUAACAUGAUUGCUCUAGUGCAUUUUAGGUACAUAAGAUGGACGAAAAUGAUAGGCAAAUUUGAGCAAGUACUGAGUACAAGGGCAGAUGGAUUAUGUAUUUGGCAAAAUUAAUGGCAUAAGUAAAUAAUAUCUGUGAAGGUUGCUCUUGUUAUUUCUCUGUAUAAGCUUCCCAUGUUCUGGGAAAGCUUAAAUUCUAUUUUAGCAAGAGGAACUUGUAUGUAAACACAUAAAUCAUACUCUCUACUCUUGGGAUGUAUGGGGGCAUCAGUCAUGAGAUAUGUUAUUCUGAACCAAUAACAAUAACUGUAGCUAAUUAUAUUGCAAAUUUAUAAUAGUUUUUUUGAGUAAUGUGGUUAUUGAGGUUUAUGUGAGCUGGCAAUGCAAUCAUAGAAUAGCUGUUGUUGAUGUUACUUUGGCUUUUCUUUAAGAAGCUAGAUAUUUUUACUUGCUUCUUGUUAUAUAGGAAUUCUAAAUUCUUGAAAUAUUCCUGAUGUGUAAUUCUGGAUGUCUGGAACAAGUGCCUCUCUCUGCUCCAAUUAUAUUAUCUUCCAUUUUAAUUUUACUCCUGAAAAGGGCAGUAACUUCAAACAUAGGUCUCAAAUAGAUAAGAUUGUUGUAUUGGCACUUAACAUUUAUUUUUGCUAUUUUAUUAAAUUAAAUUAGCAGAAGUUAAGGCAUUUGCGUUAGAUGUAUUGAAGGCGAUCUCUUUUACUUGAGUUUAUGUUAUUAGCUUGUUGUGUGCAAGCAUUUGGAGGUUUCUCAUUAGCCCCACUUGUAGAACAAAUAAAAUAAAAUUCUUGAGAAUCAAACAUGAAUUAUCUUUGCAAGUUUUAUGUUGUUAUUUCCUGCAAUUAGUUUUUGAAUUUUCAUUAAUUUAUUGUAGAAAGAACAAAGUGUUGUAGUUUCUUUAUUCAUCUAAUAAUCCCUAGCAUUGGCUAGGUUUUGUUUCAGUGCCUACUUUGAAAUUCCUUUUGCAUCUGAAAGGAGUAGAUGUAGAUAAGGUAUUUUGAGAUUUGAAACAAGUGUACACUGUGUUUUAAGCAUCGAUAUUUCCGAUUCAGUGGCUUAAAUCUAUUAUUAUUAUGCAUUGGAUGUUGGAGUUGGUGCAGAAGCUAGUCUUUUUUGGCAUUGAUCUAAUUUUUGUAGCGAGAAAGGAAAAGGCUACAAACUGCUGAAUGUCAAAUUGUCAUUGCAAAUCAUUUUAGACUAAUCAUUGCCUGGAGAAAAUUUGAGAAUAACUGUUGUGUUCAUGGUUGCAAAAUGUUAGUAAUCAUUUCAAUGAAACCUGAAAAAAGUUUUAAUUGGAUGUGGAAUCAACUUAGUAAUUUAAUACUUCUCUUUGAAUUGUGCCAUAAUUAUAGUAAACUCACAUAGAUCAUGAAAACUGGUGUGUUCCCUUUUUCUUGCACAAAGUGGGAAAGCCUGUUUAUAUGAUGUUAAAAAUAGCAAGAACUAUUUUCCUUUUUGCAUUUUAUUAUCUGCAUACAGCCCAUGUCACACUAUGUAUUUUAUAUUACUUAUUUAUUUGAGUGCUUAAUGGUGUUAAAAGAAAUCUUUGGAUUGCAGAAUUUUACAUUUCGAGUUGAAGUAAUUCAUGAUUUAAAAGCAUAGUUCAUAUGGUAAUUAUUAGUAUCCAAUUGCUUUGUGGUGGCAUCAGUUAUCACUCAGCAGGACACUGGACUCAUCAUUGAACUUUUAUGUGUUUCUCCAAUAUUUCAUACAGUCAUAGUGAUAAUAAUGCUAUUUUCUUUGUUAUCAUAUCAUUUUGCAGAACUAAAAUGUUAGUGCUUCUUUUCCUGUUCAGCAGAAACCUUUCUAUCAUGAUAGGAUUAUGGAAGGCCUAAACAUUACUGAUGAAAUGCUUAGCCCUAACUCAGUCACCAGGCAACUCAGUGACCAAAUUAAUCUUGCAAAAGCUUUUGUAGCGAUUGCAAAAGAAAGCAACAAUCUGCAAUUUGCUUGGGAAUUAAGUGCCCAGAUUCGCAAUUCACAGGUCCUGCUUUCUAGUGCUGCAACAAGACGAGCUCCAUUGACAACCAGAGAAUCAGAAACUGCAAUUCGUGACAUGGCACUUUUGCUCUACCAAGCCCAACAGCUGCACUAUGAUAGUGCAACUAUGAUCAUGAGACUGAGAGCCAAAAUCCAAGCUCUUGAAGAACAAAAGAGUUCUGUAACUGAAAAGAGUUCAAAAUAUGGACAAAUAGCUGCAGAAGAAGUUCCAAAAGGUCUUUAUUGCCUUGGUAUUCAGCUAACUACAGAAUGGUUUGGAAAUUUAAAUUUGCAAGGGAAACUCAAUAAAAGAAUGCACAUGGAAUCAAAACUUAGAGAUAACAAUCUCUAUCAUUUUUGUGUCUUCUCUGACAACAUACUUGCAACUUCAGUUGUGGUCAAUUCAACUGCAUUAAAUUCCAAAAAUCCGAAUAUGGUCGUCUUUCAUCUUGUAACUGAUGAAAUAAACUAUGCUGCAAUGAAGGCCUGGUUUGCUAUGAAUGAUUUUGGGGGAGUUACUGUUGAGGUUCAAAAGUUUGAAGACUUUAAGUGGCUGAAUGCUUCUUAUGUACCAGUUCUUAAGCAGCUCCAGGACUCUGAAACUCAAAACUAUUACUUUUCAGGCCACAAUGAUGAUGGUGGGACUCCAAUCAAGUUCCGGAACCCAAAAUAUCUGUCUAUGCUAAAUCACCUCAGAUUUUAUAUUCCGGAAGUUUUUCCUGCAUUGAAGAAGGUGGUAUUUCUUGAUGAUGAUGUAGUGACUCAGAAGGAUCUGUCUGCACUAUUUUCAAUUGAUUUGAAUGGCAAUGUCAAUGGAGCAGUAGAGACGUGCAUGGAGACAUUUCACCGGUACCAUAAGUACCUGAACUACUCUCACCCACUCAUACGGGAGCAUUUUGAUCCAGAUGCAUGUGGUUGGGCAUUUGGGAUGAAUGUUUUUGAUUUGGUCGAGUGGAGGAGAAGAAAUGUAACCAACAUUUAUCAUUACUGGCAGGAAAGGAAUGUAGACAGGACACUUUGGAAACUUGGGACUCUACCACCUGGACUUCUGACCUUCUAUGGUUUGACACAACCGUUAGAUCCCUCAUGGCAUGUGUUGGGAUUGGGAUACACAAAUGUCGAUCAUCACUUGAUAGAGAAGGGGGCAGUGUUGCACUUCAAUGGAAACUCAAAACCAUGGCUGAAAAUUGGGAUGGAAAAGUACAAGCCUCUUUGGGAGAAGUAUGUAGAUUAUUCUCAUCCUUUAUUGCAACAGUGCAACUUUCAUUGAUUUCAGACAUGGGAAGCUUCACAUUUCCACUAGUGCGCAAGAAUUUUUGCAGUCAAAGUAUGCUUGCACAGUUUUUACAAGAUCAAGCAUGGCUGGUGGUUGUAGAAGUGCCUGUUGUAGCAUAGAAUGCUCAUUUCACAUCAAACAUUCAAUUGACCAAGAUCUUUUUUUAGUCUAUGUCUAUGUAGAUUGAGCUAUAAUCAAUACUUAUCCACUGCAGUUCUUACUUCUCAUUUUCAUCAAGUUUAAGAACUUGUAUCGAAAUGGAACUGGUUGUUUCUUUUCAAUUGUAUCUGAGCAUCAGGUUGUUGGAGCUAAUUUUAUAAUGAAAAUCAGAUAAAAUCAAUAAAAU